rnacentral:rRNA from 1 species
CAGUAGCCGCGGUAAAACGAAGGGGGCUAGCGUUGUUCGGAAUCACUGGGCGUAAAGGGUGCGCAGGCUGGUUCUUAAGUCAGGGGUGAAAUCCCGAGGCUCAACCUCGGAACGGCCUUUGAUACUGGUGAUCUUGAGUCCGGAAGAGGUGAGUGGAACUGCGAGUGUAGAGGUGAAAUUCGUAGAUAUUCGCAAGAACACCGGUGGCGAAGGCGGCUCACUGGUCCGGAACUGACGCUGAGGCACGACAGCGUGGGGAGCAAACAGGAUUAGAUACCCGGGUAGUCCCUGUCUCUUAUAC